AAAGUCGUAACAAGGUUUCCGUAGGUGAACCUGCGGAAGGAUCAUUAAUGAAACGCUCGAAGCGGGGGUCGAUGCUGGUCUCGCGAGGGACAUCGUGCGCGCCCCUAUCUUCUCUUUCAUUCAUCUACCCCUAUCUGUGCACCCUAUGUGGGCCGAGACAUUCGGCCUGCGCAUUUCUAUACACUCCGUUAAACGUUCAAUGAAUGAAUCAUUCGAGCUUCGUCUCGAUAUAAUCUAAUACAACUUUCAACAACGGAUCUCUUGGUUCUG
rnacentral:misc_RNA from 1 species